UCCCCGUUUUCCAGCCGGAGAGUCCCGGGAAACUCCUGCGCGGCCGGGCAGGGCAGGGUCGGGGCCGGGGGGCUCCGUUCGGGACUCUCAGGUGCGCAGGGAAAGCGCUGCGCGGGGUCUGCGCGGGAUCUGCGCGGCAUUUCCACCCCCGCCCUGCCCGGGCUGGAACCCCCGCGCUGAUUUAUUUUCCAUGCGGGAACCCUCCCCAGAGCCGGCAGCAAGGGGAUGCCGGGGCUCAGCACACAUUUACACACCAAACUCCUGGCAUAUCUCACUGGGACACGGAUUUGACCAGGGAAAAGAUCUCAGAAGAAAUGAAGGGGUGCAGAUACAGCUGCCAAAAGCCCAAGCUCUGCAUCCAGCCUGGACACCUGGUUGGAAGCCACCUCCUUCUCCAGCUGCUGACCUUUCUCCAGUGCCAGUUCUGGUGUGGGCAACACCUGCAGCCUGACUGGGGAGUGGAAAGUGGCUAUCCCAACUUCCAAAGUCUGAUAGCUGUAAUCUGAAUUGAAUGUCCAGGUGCUCCUGCCUGUGGGACAAUGUCCAGCCUGCUGCCCAUCCUCUGGAAUGUCAUUGCACAGGAUGAUGGUUCACUGUCCAUGGCAGGAGGGCUGGAACUAGAUGUUCUGUCAGGUGCCUUCAAACCCAAAGCCUUCCAUGAUCCCUUGUGGCAAGAAAUGGACGGAGAACCGGGCAGGGGAAAGAAAUUUGGGGUUGUCUCUUGCUCCUAGGCAGGAUCAGCCCCACCUCUGCAGGUUUAAUUCUCCUUACAAAGAGAAAUUAAUCAAAUUUUAUGAACAUGUUCAUAAUCAGAAGAGCAUAAGCUCAUGGUUUCGAGGUGACUGGCAGGUCCUGGCCAGCAUUGAUGGAAGCCAGCUGAGGGCAUGGAGUGUGAACCUUUAUCUCUGCUGACAUGACAUAUUAUUAAAAAGUAUUUCGAGUAAUCUUUGAUUUCCUCAGCAUUGCAACACAUUUCAAGAACUUGGCCGGGGAUCAACUGAGCCUUUUUAAUUUCCUACACUGAAAAAUAAAACAAAAACCAAGCCCGAUUGAGAUGAUAUAAUCAGGAACAUUUUGAGGGUUUAGGUCAAAUUAAUGUGUCAGAGAAGGGUUUUCAGGGGACUUGGGGAGCUUUAAUCUGUCAAAGGCUGACUCAGAGCCUGCUUGGGCUUUGUAAUCUUAUUGUCUUUAUGGAAUUAUGGGAUGGAAUGUCCUGAAUUACCAUCAUCAGAGAGUCUAGCAAAUAAUCAGUUGGCAUAAAGUUCAGAAUAACUAAGUUAAUUUUAAAGCAAGUGUUGCACAAUAUGCCAGAAAUGUUUGCUUAACUUGGAAAUGAUCUUUUAAUGCUGUCCCUUAAUGUGUGAAAGCACUCAGGUAACCUCCAACCCCAGCCUGGUCCAGCCACUUUUGGGGCAGAUUUUAGGAGAUGGAACUCUUUUCAAGCCGUGCUCAAUUUUGCCAAGAUUUGUUUUGCAUUUACCAAAACAAAAGAAAAAAAAAUAAACAAAGCAAACCAAAUCUGCUUUUUGGCUUAGGGGGGUAAUAUUUUAAUAUCACCUGAACUCAAUUAUGCAUCUAAUACUUGUCUCUUUUAUAUCUCUGUCCAUCAUGAAUUUAUAUAGAGCUGCAAUUAUAAAUUUGGUAUGUGGAUAUAUUUGGUUCUAAUGGAUACAUUCAAGGAUUGUUCAGGCUAAACUCAAGGGUGAUUCAUUCUUUGCUCCACAAAUUAUUAGGAAGAAAAUAUUUAUGCAUUUAAUAUUUGGGAAAAUCCUGAUUUCCAGCCCUGCAGUCUCUGAUCAGAGAGGUGCAGCCCCAUUACUCAAACCUGGCUCCCAGGAGAGCCUCAGCCCCUGCUUCUCCAGGGUUAAUGAAGUGAUGAGUAGUCGAGUUUACAACUGGGUGUGCAUGCAUCUCCCUUCCCACCGGGUGUGUGUGAGGUGGGACACUCUGAGCAGUAUUUUGGGUGGUGUAGCUCCUCUCCUCUUGCAGGGAGCAAAGCAGAGGAUCCUGGGCUGUUCCCAUGUUCCUGAGUGCUCUUCCCA